rnacentral:rRNA from 1 species
AAGGGCACCACAAGAACGCGUGGAGCAUGUGGCUUAAUUUGACUCAACGCGGGAAAUCUUACCGGGUCCGGACACACUGAGGAUUGACAGGUUUUCGUGGAUAGCUAUCUCGCAUAGCUUGACACCAUAAAGAUGCUAGUCCUUUCAUGAUUGUGUGAUAGGUGGUGCAUGGCCGUUCUUAGUUCGUGGAGUGAUCUGUCUGCUUAAUUGCGUUUCACACAGGAAGUUUAACGUACAUGUGAGUGUGAGCUGACGCGGCUCUUUUGAGCCUUGCUGUCGCUCCGUUCCGUGUAUAAACUAUUCCUGACUGCAACGAACCUGACCG